GAGUGAGUUUUGUCUUCAAAUAGGUAAGAGAGUGGUGGUUUGACCACAUCUGUUGAGGAAAAAGUACAUUCUUAUCUUUGUGAAGUGAGCAAUGUUAUCUGCCAUAUUUACGUGUGGAGUCAAGAAGCCACAAUUACCUUCCAAUUUCUGUCUACCCUUGAGGAGGUACUUAUUUGGAAUGGAAUUUAAAAAAAUAUUCCCAUAGGAUUGUUCUUCAAGAUAAAAGAAAUCACAAAUGAUCAAACAAGAAAUAAACUAAGGAGAUAACGUUAUGAAUCUUUAUUCUGGGAUGAAAUUAACAUCGGCAGAUAAAGGUUCCAGCCCGAGCUGCCCUCCCUCGCUGCCUCCCGGUCAUGCAUCAGCUGCUGGAUGAGCUCCUGCCAGUGUCCACUGGCGCUCAGGUCCACUUUGUACAUGCCUCUGAUGUGCCGGAUCACCUUCUUCCUCUCAAUUCCUUGUGAGAGAGACACUGCCUGCGUAAUAUCUGCAGCUAUUUUGGAUAUAUCCUUGGAUUUUGAAUCGAGAUGCUGAAAGAGACUAAACAGGAUGCCCAAGGGUUGAGCAUACGUGGAACAUUAAAUGUGUAUCAAAACAUGGCACUUUAAAACUAAGUUAUAUGUGAAAUCUAAUGGGUUCCUAAAAGACACAGCUGGAGGAGUCCUCAGACUGAACUUAUAGAAGAGAAGCUCGGGGCUUUAAAAACCUGGCAGGUUACAAGUGGGAUACAGCAUGCAGGCAGCUGUGAAAGGCAUGAGAAGACCCCUCUGCACCUCUGCAGAACGAUCGCCAGAUGUGCUGUUUCCUGAAGAAAGUAAAAUAUCCAAGCAGUACAAUGAGGUCUUCAAUAACUCUUAAAUACUGUGAGCCCGAGGAACUGCAAGCGUGGACUGUAACCGCUAUGAGGAGCUGCUGUAUGUUACAAGCCAGCAGUCUGUGUUCAUUCGAAGGAAUGCUACAGAAAAAGGACAGAUAACGUAAGGCAAAAAGAACUGGUCUAAACUCCUGCCCACCAGCACUGGCUCCCCCUUGCACUCCCUCGGUGUGCAUCCUGCGUACUCAAUGGCGGGUCACCUGACCCUCACGCCAGGAGCAGACAUGAGACGACACAGUUGACUCUUGUCACAGCCCGGCUUGCAGAGGGCCCGACAGGUGACCAGGUGACUGUGAACGGUAAACGGCGUAAGUGUAACAAGAGGUGAACACAAGACACUGAGGGAGUGCACAGGCAUCCUCGCCACCCUGAACAGGAAGAUUCUAGGGGCACCAACAGGGAUGUUCUGAGAAGCCUUCUCAGGGAUGGUGACUUUGACUCAACCUCUCCGAGUUUUACUUACACAAAUUAUAGUUAUUUUAAGGAUUAAGUGAGAUUUGAACAUAUAUUAAUCACUUAUAAAUACCUAAUAAAUAUGAAUUAGUUACUUCUGUCCCUCAACUUUUAACCUUAUUUACUACUUCAGUGUGUGAAAUUAAGCCUCUCCAUUUACUUUUUCAAAAUCAAGCAAGAAGUGGGAAUUUGAAAUUUGUAGAUACUGACAGUCACACGCAGAACAGAUAAACAAGAUUAUACUGUAUAGCACAGGGAAAUACAUUCAAGAUCUUGUGGUAGCUCACAGCGAAAAAGAAUGUGACAAUGAAUAUAUGUGUGUUCAUGUAUAACUGAAAAAUUGUGCUCUACACUGGAAUUUGACACAACAUUGUAAACUGACUAUAACUCAAUUAAAAAAAAUCAAGCAAGAGUUAGAAAUGGUAACUGCUUUGUGCCAAUUAGCAGAGCAGCACACAGGGACAUUGAGUAAGUACAAUUUAUUUAAAACAGCAACAGCAACAAACUGCUUUUAGGAGCAGCCUGCAGCACUCCUCCUAAGUUCUGCCAGCUUCAUGCCCUGUGCUGUAAUCAAGACUAAACGUUUGGAGGAAAAACAACACUUUGCACUUCUUUGUAUUUCUCAUAUGCCUAGCACCCGGAUCCUAAAUAAAACAGGUGUCCAAUAAAAAUU